UACACAUGCAGUCGACGGUAACAGGAAGCAGCUUGCUGCUUUGCUGACGAGUGGCGGACGGGUGAGUAAUGUCUGGGAAACUGCCUGAUGGAGGGGGAUAACUACUGGAAACGGUAGCUAAUACCGCAUAACGUCGCAAGACCAAAGAGGGGGACCUUCGGGCCUCUUGCCAUCGGAUGUGCCCAGAUGGGAUUAGCUAGUAGGUGGGGUAACGGCUCACCUAGGCGACGAUCCCUAGCUGGUCUGAGAGGAUGACCAGCCACACUGGAACUGAGACACGGUCCAGACUCCUACGGGAGGCAGCAGUGGGGAAUAUUGCACAAUGGGCGCAAGCCUGAUGCAGCCAUGCCGCGUGUAUGAAGAAGGCCUUCGGGUUGUAAAGUACUUUCAGCGGGGAGGAAGGGAGUAAAGUUAAUACCUUUGCUCAUUGACGUUACCCGCAGAAGAAGCACCGGCUAACUCCGUGCCAGCAGCCGCGGUAAUACGGAGGGUGCAAGCGUUAAUCGGAAUUACUGGGCGUAAAGCGCACGCAGGCGGUUUGUUAAGUCAGAUGUGAAAUCC
rnacentral:rRNA from 1 species